UUAAAGCACAACCACCUGAAACGUCAAAGGGAAAAUCAAGGAAAUCCCAGGUUAUAAGAUAUGUGAAUGAAUAAAUGUUAGUUUCUCUUUAAUGAGUUGAACUUAAAUUUUCAGAAUAUUUUAAGAGUGCUCUGAUCAGUGUGGAGAAUCUGCUG